AGCGAACGCUGGCGGCAGGCUUAACACAUGCAAGUCGAACGCCCCGCAAGGGGAGUGGCAGACGGGUGAGUAACACGCGGGAACGUACCCUUUGGUUCGGAAUAACUUGGGGAAACUCAAGCUAAUACCGGAUAAGCCCUUAUGGGGGAAGGUUUACUGCCGAAGGAUCGGCCCGCGUCUGAUUAGCUAGUUGGUGAGGUAAUGGCUCACCAAGGCGACGAUCAGUAGCUGGUCUGAGAGGAUGAUCAGCCACACUGGGACUGAGACACGGCCCAGACUCCUACGGGAGGCAGCAGUGGGGAAUAUUGGACAAUGGGGGCAACCCUGAUCCAGCCAUGCCGCGUGAGUGAAGAAGGCCUUAGGGUUGUAAAGCUCUUUUACCCGGGACGAUAAUGACUGUACCGGGAGAAUAAGCCCCGGCUAACUUCGUGCCAGCCGCCGCCGUAA
rnacentral:rRNA from 1 species